rnacentral:snRNA from 1 species
AUACUUACCUGGCAGGAGAGACACCAUGAGCACGAAGGUGGGUUUCCCAGAGCCAGCCUUAUCCAUUGCACUCCGGAUGUGCUGACCCCUGCGAUUUCCCCAAAUGUGGGAAACUCGACCGCCUAAUUUGUGGUAGUGGAGGACUGCGUUCACGCUCUCCCCUG